AUUGAACGCUGGCGGCAGGCCUAACACAUGCAAGUCGAACGAGUGGCGUACGGGUGAGUAAUGUCUGGGAACCUGCCCGAUGGAGGGGGAUAAUUACUGGAACCGGUAGCUAAUACCGCAUACCCUCAGAUGUGCCCAGAUGGGAUUAGCUCGUUGGUGGGGUAACGGCUCACCAAGGCGACGAUCCCUAGCUGGUCUGAGAGGAUGACCAGCCACACUGGAACUGAGACACGGUCCAGACUCCUACGGGAGGCAGAAGUGGGGAAUAUUGCACAAUGGGCGCAAGCCUGAUGCAGCCAUGCCGAGUGAAUGAAGAAGGCCUUCGGGUUGUAAAGUACUUUCAGCAGGGAGGCGUUACCCGCAGAAGAAGCACAGGCUAACUCCGUGCCAGCAGCCGCGGUAAUAC
rnacentral:rRNA from 1 species